rnacentral:lncRNA from 1 species
GCAUACGUCACUCCGUAGAGCCUUGUCAUGCAGGAGCUGCACUAAGGCAUCAGGGCUGCAUGCAGGUUUGGUACGAUCUUCGUCCUCCCAUAUUAUAUCCCUACAUAAAACAGUUAUGUUUAAGAAACUUGAAAUGCGAUAAUUGUCAAAAACGGUCAAUUAAUAUAAUUAACUUACCCAAACUCAUGUUCUUCGAGGAAGAAUUUAAUAGCUUCUUCAUACCUAAUAGGGAGUAUACUUGUCCCCUUCCCAUGAAAGCUACGUUUCAGUGCCACUCUCUGAACAUCGUUAACUUUAAAUAAAUGGUGACGACAGAUAUUUUGGUUAGGAAACUUAACUGUAUAGACUUAGCAAAUUCAAUAUGGAUAAAUAAACACAUAUGGACGAGACAACAAUUCUAUACCGCUCCCGGGGGAGAGGUUUCCUCCCAUGUUGGAGCCGAUUUUUGGAGCUCCAUUAAUGAACUUGUCGGUGGGUCGAAUAUGUUGGUUGACCGAGCGGGCGAAUCCUCGGACACAAUAGUAAUUCCCGUACAAACCUCACCUUUUUCGGCAACUUUGACCCUUUUUUUAGCCCUUUUAUAGGUCUUUGGCUGGUCUGAUAUGGCCUUCGCUUUCUCCGAUGGCUUGCGCUC